AAAAGGAAAAAAAAAUACAGAAAAAAUAAGAAAAAAAAAUUGUUUUGUGAAUAAUGGAGUCAAGAAGAGGAUUGAAUUAGAGGUUUUGGGUGUGUUUGAAUGUGUUUACACUUGUUCCCCAUUGCUCCUCUAUUUCUUUUGGUUUAUAGCUUCUCAUCCAUAUGUUAUCUUCCCUUGUCCUUGACCCCAUUACAUCCAUAAAAGACCUUUUGAUUUGAACAUGCAUAUGUUUUUGAGUG
rnacentral:lncRNA from 1 species